rnacentral:rRNA from 1 species
AUUGAACGCUGGCGGCAGGCUUAACACAUGCAAGUCGAGCGGGGUGAUGGUGCUUGCACUAUCACUUAGCGGCGGACGGGUGAGUAAUGCUUAGGAAUCUGCCUAUUAGUGGGGGACAACAUCUCGAAAGGGAUGCUAAUACCGCAUACGUCCUACGGGAGAAAGCAGGGGAUCACUUGUGACCUUGCGCUAAUAGAUGAGCCUAAGUCGGAUUAGCUAGUUGGUGGGGUAAAGGCCUACCAAGGCGACGAUCUGUAGCGGGUCUGAGAGGAUGAUCGGCCACACUGGGACUGAGACACGGCCCAGACUCCUACGGGAGGCAGCAGUGGGGAAUAUUGGGAAAUGGGGGGAACCCUGAUCCAGCCAUGCCGCGUGUGUGAAGAAGGCCUUAUGGUUGUAAAGCACUUUAAGCGAGGAGGAGGCUCUUUUGGUUAAUACCCAAGAUGAGUGGACGUUACUCGCAGAAUAAGCACCGGCUAACUCUGUGCCAGCCGCCGCCGUAA